AACGAACGCUGGCGGCAUGCCUAACACAUGCAAGUCGAACGAAUAAGAGCCUAGCUUGCUAGGAAUUCUGUUAGUGGCAGACGGGUGCGUAACACGUGGGAACUUACCUUGCAGUAUGGGAUAACAACGGGAAACUGUUGCUAAUACCAUAUACUCUCUGAGGAGAAAAAGAUUUAUCGCUGUAAGAUAGGCCCGCGCUAGAUUAGGUAGUUGGUGGGGUAAUGGCCUACCAAGCCUACGAUCUAUAGCUGGUCUGAGAGGACGACCAGCCACACUGGGACUGAGACACGGCCCAGACUCCUACGGGAGGCAGCAGUGGGGAAUAUUGGACAAUGGGCGAAAGCCUGAUCCAGCAAUGUCGCGUGAAUGAUGAAGGCCUUAGGGU
rnacentral:rRNA from 1 species